rnacentral:rRNA from 1 species
GGCGAACGCUAGCGGCGUGCCUGCGACAUGCAAGUCGAGCGGGGGGAGGAGCUUCGGCUCCGAACCUAGCGGCGAACGGUCGAGUAACACGUAAGCAACCUGCCCCGAAGACCGGGAUAACAGCUCGAAAGGGCUGCUAAUACCGGAUGUGCCCACGCAGAGGCAUCUCUGCGUGAGUAAAACCCACAAGGGGCUUCGGGAGGGGCUUGCGGCCCAUCAGCUAGUUGGUAGGGUAACGGCCUACCAAGGCGGCGACGGGUAGCUGGUCUGAGAGGAC